rnacentral:ncRNA from 1 species
GGAAAGGCUAUGAAGAGGGAAGUAUUCUAUCGGAAAUUUACAGAGAGCUCCGUAUGGUGGGAAGGAGCAAUGGAAGAAAGAUGAAACAAGCCUCGGAGCUGCAUACGGAUCGGUUUAUCUAAACCGUGAUGCUAUGACGUGGGUUCCCGUUACAGGACUAGAGUAUGAUCGUACUUAAAGAGGUUAAUAUGGUGACAUAUUAAUAAAAAUAGGGUGGUACCGCGAUAGAUUCGCCCCUGUA